rnacentral:rRNA from 1 species
UACGGAGGGUGCAAGCGUUAUCCGGAUUCACUGGGUUUAAAGGGUGCGUAGGAGGGCAGGUAAGUCAGUGGUGAAAUCUUCGAGCUUAACUCGGAAACUGCCGUUGAUACUAUCUGUCUUGAAUACCGUGGAGAUGAGCGGAAUAUGUCAUGUAGCGGUGAAAUGCUUAGAUAUAACAUAGAACACCAAUUGCGAAGGCAGCUCGUUACACGAAUAUUGACUCUGAGGCUCGAAAGCGUGGGGAUCAAACAGG